rnacentral:misc_RNA from 1 species
UAAACUGUUUCAGUAUUCAAUUGUCUGGUCCAGAAAAGUAUAUAGGAGUAUAACCAGCCGAGUCAAGACCAGCCAGAUUUUGCUCUAUUCAAGCUGAGCAGCUUGAUACCCAGCUUGAACCGUGCAAAAUCUUGGACAAGCUCUUACUUACCUUGUCUUGGGUGUAUUCCAAGGAAGCUUGAGCUUUGCUAAUGAAGCUUGAGCUUGGCUUGAUAAGGGGGAAAACACUUUAUCAAACUUUAAAAGACUAAAUUAAUAAACAUAAGAAGAGCUUAAAAAAUUAACCUGUUCAUGAGAAAAGAAUGAAGCCAAGCUCAUCUAUGUGUCUGUUCAUUCAUUUAUUAAAUGAGCUUAAAAUUUGUAGUUGAACUCAUUUUUUUGUUCUAGUAAACAAGUGCAAAUAA